GAACGCUGGCGGCAGGCUUAACAUAUGCAAGUCGAGCGGAAACGAUGGGAGCUUGCUCCCAGGCGUCGAGCGGCGGACGGGUGAGUAACGCGUAGGAAUCUGCCCAGUAGAGGGGGAUAGCCCGGGGAAACCCGGAUUAAUACCGCAUACGCCCUACGGGGGAAAGGCCGGGAUCUUCGGACCGGUCACUAUUGGAGGAGCCUGCGUGAGAUUAGCUUGUUGGUGGGGUAAUGGCCUACCAAGGCGACGAUCUCUAGCUGGUCUGAGAGGAUGAUCA
rnacentral:rRNA from 1 species